GACGAACGCUGGCGGCGUGCUUAACACAUGCAAGUCGAGCGGUAAGGCCCUUUCGGGGGUACACGAGCGGCGAACGGGUGAGUAACACGUGGGUGACCUGCCCUCAGCUCUGGGAUAAGCCCGGGAAACUGGGUCUAAUACCGGAUAUGACUCCAUGACGCAUGUUGUGGGGCGGAAAGCCUUGUGCGGCUGAGGAUGGGCCCGCGGCCUAUCAGCUUGUUGGUGGGGUGAUGGCCACCAAGGCGACGACGGGUAGCCGGCCUGAGAGGGCGACCGGCCACACUGGGACUGAGAUACGGCCCAGACUCCUACGGGAGGCAGCAGUGGGGAAUCUUGCGCAAUGGGCGAAAGCCUGACGCAGCGACGCCGCGUGA
rnacentral:rRNA from 1 species